UACGUAGGGUGCAGGUGUUGAUCGGAAUUACUGGGCGUAAAGCGUGCGCAGGCGGUCUUUUAAGUCAGGGGUGAAAUCCCCGGGCUUAACCUGGGAACUGCGUUUGAAACUGAAAGGCUAGAGUGUGGCAGAGGGGGGUGGAAUUCCACGUGUAGCAGUGAAAUGCGUAGAGAUGUGGAGGAACACCGAUGGCGAAGGCAGCCCCCUGGGCUAACACUGACGCUCAUGCACGAAAGCGUGGGGAGCAAACAGG
rnacentral:rRNA from 1 species